GACGAACCAUGCAAACGUUAUUCGGAUUCACUGGGCUUAAAGCGUGCGUAGGCGGUCUUGUUAGUCAGGUGUGAAAGCCCUCAGCCUAACUGAGGAAUUGCGCUUGAUACUGCAUGACUAGAGAAUGAUAGAGGUGGGUGGAACUGAUGGUGGAGCGGUGAAAUGCGUUGAUAUCAUCAGGAACACCAGUGGCGAAGGCGACCCACUGGGUCAUUUCUGACGCUGAGGUGCGAAAGCGUGGGGGAGCAA
rnacentral:rRNA from 1 species